UUGCUGUGAUGAUCUCCACUGGGUUUUGCAGGUUACUGAGUUUUAGUGAUGCCUUUCUCUUGGCUGUCUGAGCAA
ensembl:snoRNA